rnacentral:lncRNA from 1 species
ACACGGUGCGCAGCGCACGGCCGCUCGCCGGGGCUGCCUCCUCGCGGUCCAGAGAACUGAGCCCUGAGCGCAGCCCCGGCGCUUCCCCGCGGAGGCUGAGAAGAACUGCGCAGGAAGAGAGCCGCGGACCGAGGCAGAGUGGGCGGGCCCGGCCACCUGGAGUGACAGGUCUCUCCACCUACCAGAACCCCGGAGCGCCAUGCAAAUCCAGCAGCUUCGCUGAGGGCCCUGUGCAUCCCUGAGAACUGCCUAGGGGUGAGAAAACCAGCAAAGAGAAAAGUGCAAUCUUGCAGGAAAUCUGCGACCACAAGCAGAUCAGAGCUCAUGCAAAUGACGGAAAAUGCAACACGAAAUGGCUCAAGCCCCAAAGAAAUUAUGUAAGCGACGGUCCCGGGGAGUCACAAGCGUGGGGCCCUGCUGGAGUCGGAUGACCAAACAGCAGCCGGAAACUCCAGGCUUAUACCCUCAAAAGUGCAAGUUCAAUUCGGACUCCUAGGCCUGACUCUCAGGGUCAGGAACUGGACCACACGGCCCGUCCUGAGCAGACCACUGUGGCCAAAAGGAUGCUGUCUUCACGCGGAUCAAGCCCAGGAGCCGGAGGUGGAGUGGAAUGACGUCACACACACUGCGGUUCUGAGGGGCUGGUUUAUUGCAGCAGGAAAAGAGAACCGAUGCGCUUUACAAAUCUGAGGGCUGCGGGUGCCGCCCCCCAACCCCCUGCCCCCCACGACAUGCCUGUGUCACUUCCCACAGUGCCAUCUGGACACGGCCAAGAGAGAGUGUUUCAGAUUACCAAAAUAUUCCUGCCUAACAGCAGAGAGGAAAAACAAAACAAAACAACCUGUGCGUCUCCUAUGUUUCUCGCCGUUCCCGCACGACAGCGUGACGUCAGCCCUGAGGCUCCCUGGCGUCGCCCCGCCCGGCCGGCCGCUUGCAGGUCAGCAUCAGCAGCAGGAACAGAGGCAGGUGCCAGAGGCUGCAGAAGAACAGCUUCCGGGAGCUCUUCCGGUCCGCGUCCCUGUAGAACCGGAAGCCGAGCGAGCACCCCUGGGGAAUUAGUGGAGACAGAAGGGAGGCUUGGACCACCCAGGUACAACUGAACUGGAAAACGGGGACAGAAGGCAACUCCGUCCUAUUUUGACGGCACACAGAACCAUCUCUGGACGUUAUAGGGCCCCGCGCAGAGGAGGAGCUGGGACCGGGUCUCGGGGCAUCAGGCAGGGAGCAGCCACCAGCUCCGUGCCGUCACAUCCAGGGGACUGGAGCAGAUGACGUCCUGCAGUUAUGACGGUCAAGCUGUAUCCCGCCAGGAGCAGCAUCGGCAGCGACUUGGAAAUGAGGAGCGGACAGGUGGUCCGGGCUCAGGAGUUGUCCUGCCACUGAAACGGCCGCGAAGGAGCCAGGCUUUUUGGAUACUGUUAAGAUGUCAGGCUCCAACGUGGGACCCUGCUGGUCUCUCUCCAAAGCCCUCUUUCUUGCUGUGCCAACUGGAGUAUUCUGUUUCGCUCAACACACAUGUUCAGUUAGGCUUCUCCUUAAACUAACAUAAUUAAAAAAUUCAUUUUCAUAGAGUAGCGCACUGCUUAGUCGGUGAGAGGAAACUGGGCAGGGGUUUGGCUCCUGCUGCAAAUGAAAAGCGCUUUAGAAAUCACAGCUCAGCCUUAAUGGACUGUAAUCAGAAAACCUCUGCCCCCACACAGGUCUACUCCACGGGCUGCCACCGGCUCUGCUCCUAUAGAAGAUGGGAAACAAAUUACUGUCUCCAUCAAGAUAAGGGGGACGAGAACAGGAAGGCUGGGAUGUGGCCGGGGGCUGCCGGGGCACCCACCUUCCUUGUAGGGAAAACAAAGCCCUUCGUUUCCUGACUCGGAGGCCCCCACCUCAGCCUCGCCCCCAGACGGGUCUGUUUUCACGGAGCCGAUGUUCUGUGACAACAGGUAUUUACUGUGUGCCCACUGGGACGGGCACGGCCUGUUCUCCAGGCCCUCUGCUGGAGUCUGGCCAGGGACGGAGACAAUGCAAAGGGGGUCACAGCCCAGCAAUGUCACCUUCGGUGCAGGGCUUGUGGGGAGCACACAGGAGGAAGAGCUCAGCAGGCCCUGGAGAGAUCAGGGAGGGCUUCCUGGAAGAGGUGACCUGUGAACUCAGAUCUGAAGGUGGUCUCUGCAUUUCAAUCUGCUCACUCAAGCAUGCACUCCCUGCUUCUUUGUAAUGUGUUUUCUCAUUUUCCUACCUAACUCUCCAGAAUCUUCACACAUACGUGGUUAAAUCGUGUCCAGAAGAAAUGUCUGUUUUCUUCCUUGGAGUCAAAUGCUAGUUGGUCUGUGAGUAAGGAUAAGAGAUGUGGGGAUCUGUGAGACAGGCGGCCUAUCUGUGUGUGUGUGUGUGUCUCUCCAGAGGACAGCGGCUUCCUGAGGUCCUGAAACCACAAGCCUGGCUCGGAGGCUCCUGCAGAGACCCCCCGGGUGUCCACAGCCUGACUUCCCUCCGUCCACAGAAAACGGAGUUGAGCCCACGGAUUGUGCUGCGUGUGUGAGCAGCCGAGGAGCACGCCAAGCCCGUGGCCCCGCUCCAACUCGGGGCACAGGAGGCGAGGCGAGGCGAAGGGAGGGAAAAACUGUCAAAAUACCUCCCGACGCCUCUAGUCUGGGCUGUACCGAUGGGAGACCCUGCCUCUCGGCCCUCUGCCGGGCCCAAGCCCACCUCCAUCAUUCUGUCGGCAGCGCCACAGCAUCUUGGGCCAGAAACCCCCAAGCUGGAGCCCGGCCUCUGCACGUGCUCUUCCAAAAGCCAUCCUUGGAGCGGGGCUCGGUGGUGGCAGCCUGCUUCCUCUGCCGCCUGGAGGGUUCACGCUCAACCCUCCCUGCCCGACCCACCACUCCCUGCCAUUCACGCUCCACGCAGCUCUGGACAGCGGCUCCCUGUCCCCGUGGCCUCAGCAGCACGUCUGCUCCACGGCUGGUUUGUCUGAGCCUUGGGGGUCACGUGCUCAUGUAAACUGGGCGCCCGAGGCCUCACGGUCACAGAUUUCAAAGCCUGUCUCUAGAGGGUGAACACAAGGGAGCCUCCCCUGCACUGGCUUCUAGGGUGCGCAGAUAAAGAGGCUAGUGUAUCGACUGCGCGGCAGCAGAGGGGAAAGCGAAAAGUCCCCUGAAAAUAGGAAACAGAGCGGCAACUGCCUCCUGCCCUUGAAGAACCCUCUGGAAGUGACCUGGGAGUGAUGAAGACGGGCAGCGAGGGGCAUGGAUGCCCUCCCCCUGUGGUCCACGUCCUCCGUCCACUCGGAGUCACCGCAGUUUCAUCCGAGGGAAAGGUGGGGGAGGAGGAAGCACGACAUGAGCCCCGACUCUGAGCAAGGAGACCCCCCGUCGCUCCUUCCUGUUUCCCUGGGGGCUUCCCUCCCUCAGCCCCCACUCAAGUCCGUCUAUCACCCAAACAUGGAUUUGUGUGUUGAACAGAACUGAUUAAACGUGCCCUCCAGGCCCCACGUCUACCAGGGUCCAGCCCUCUGUGAUCCUGACCAACUCCGGGGACCCAGGGACCAGCACGGCAGGUGCACUUUGUACCAAAGGGUUGCCAAUUAUACCACCGACCUCCUGCUCCAGGCGUUUCUCAUUCACUCUUUCUUAGACCUUUGAAGAGAACCAGGCUCUAAGUACUGUUUGCUUUGCUAAUAUUCCCAUAAUGUUCCUUGUUCACUCUGUCUUUAGAAAUGGCAUUUAUCUUCAUCACUCUGGAGCUCUAAGGCUAGUUAUGGAACCGUCUCACGCAAAAGGAACUCACUCGUUUCCGAGUCUGAUUUCAAGGGGAGGCAGUGUUUUAAGGGAAGUCUUCCACGGUGCCUGGGUUAUACAGGGUCUGGUGCUUCGCAAGCUCUCAAUCAAUAUUUGUUGAAUGAACGAGUGAGUAAAUUUCCUCGUAUCUAUUCUAUCUUCUCAUCCUGGAAUAAAGGAGGUACAUACGUGGA